AUGAAAGUUUUCUUCGUAAAUUUUUUAUUUGUGUUUCCUUUGAUGAUCUAGACAACUGUCGUUUGUCAUUUGUUUUCAAAUUAAUAAUUGUGUUUGUGAAGCAGACGAUAUGUUUUCAUUUCUAAUAAGAAACUUGGUGUUUGCUUGUGCUUGGUCUGUUUGUUCCUAAUUUGGAAAAGUAUUCCUUAAACUUCUUGGUUAUCAGCUCUAACCAAGUUUUCACAUUUAAGAUUUUUUGACUAAAAAGAUGUUUUUCACUGGAGGAGCUGGGACUGGGUACAUCAGAAGCCCCUGUGUAGUUGAGCUGUUGGAACUUUAUUUCUUGCGAGAAGUAUGUCCACUCUAUAUUAAUGGAGAAAAAUGCACUGCUCAGCAACUGCCACUGCUCAGUUUCAACUAUGUGUUCAGCAGAUCCUCCAGAAACUGCAUCUUCAACUGUUCAACAGCAGAUCUGUCAACUUCAGGUUGAGCUGCAGCUGGCCUUCCCUUUACAGCUAAUAUUGGCUGCUUCUGGGAGUGAUAGCAUUCAGCUAAGGCUUCAGCCAACUAAUAAAAGGAAUAACCUUAACAUUGCCACGGAAUCAGUCAUUGCAAAGAUUUCACUAUACAAUAGCGACGAAAUUAACGGUGAAGAAGUUAAAUAUAAAAAACAGAGCUGAGAAACACUCAAUUGAUAAUUCUCCCAGCAAAGAUUCAUCGAGUAGUUCAUUCAGGGCUAAGAAAGAGAAGUCAAAGUUGGAGAAGGAGCUGUUGUCUUCUGUGGUCUCUGCAAUCGAGCUUAUGUCUCAUGUUGAGUCAGCUUACAAAGAUAGGGAAGUUGAAACAUACACCAAGCAAGUAGAAAAGUUUGAGUUGCACAUUCAUGAGUUCACACUCUAAGUGGAAGAGCUCAACAGCACUAUUAUCGACAUCAGCAGCCACAAAACUCGUUUGAAAACAUUGAACUGACCAAGGAAGUACGAGAGCUGAAAUUCAGCUACGAAAACAUCAGCUAUUUGAAAAGCAACUCAGCUCAAGCCAAAUAAAUUCGAAGAUCUGCGUCGUCGCUUUGAAGACAAAAAACGCCGCCGUUCCCCUUUGGAAGGUAAUUUGCACUCAGUCAAAAUUGAGCUGGAGUCGAUCCGCGUUCAGCUGGAAGAGGAAGCGGAAGCUUGCUUGGAUUUGGAACGUCAGCUCUCCAAAGUCAACCAGGAUUGUCUGUCUUGGAAAUCCAAGUACGAACAUGCCUGCACUUUUCACACCGAAGAGAUCGAAGAAAUCAGGCGCAAAUUUCACAUCCAGGUGACUUAACUGGAAAAACAGAUCAGCGCUCUGAUCUCCAAAUGCUCAGGUUUGGAGAAGAGCACGUUACGUUUACAGAGUGAGGUAGACGUUCUCAUCAUCGAUUUGAAGAAGGCUAAUAGCACCGCUCGAGAGAUGCAGAAGCGCAGCAAGCAACUGGAGCUCAUCAACAUUGAAUUCAAAUCCAAGUUGGAUAAGAUUGAGCUGACUGUCCUAUACGACGCUUCCCCUCACGAACUGAACAAAACUCGCGAACGGAAAGAUCAGCUUACCCGUGAAAACAAGAAAUUGGAUGAGAUCGCUGAGCUGAAGAGCCAGUACUCUGAAGUCUGAACUCAACAGCAGAUUCUAUUAGUUAGAAAUUGAAUAUCGCCGUCUAGAAAACGAACUUGAAGAGUUGCGUUAACCAUACAAAGAAAUCCAGAGACUGCUCGUAAAGUUGAAGAACAUCGCGUUCGUCGCAUGGAAUGGCAGCUUAGAUGAACCAAUCAAUCUCGAUAUGGAAAGCCGACUUACCGAUGAGGAGGAAGAUCUCAAGUCUAUAAAGUAAUUACGUAUAUCAGCUUUAGCGCUAAAGUAAUUCCAUUUGAGUCACUUAUUCACUCCCAAACGAUUUUUAAAGGAAGCAAAUGUCAGCAAAUGUCUAUAUCGAAAUCUUGUCCAUGCGGAAACCAAGUUGAAAACCGAAAUCCAGCGCAUUCGGAAGAAGAUGAUAAUCACAAUCACCGAGUUGGAAAUGGGGGGUAACUUAAUCUCGGGGGUCGGGGAACUAAAGCUCGGGGAAAAUGGCUACGACCGAGUCCCCGUUCAAACGGAGUGACGGGUAAACAAAAAAAGAUUAAAACUCGGGGAAUUGACUCGGGGACGGGGAGUCGGGGAAUGAUUUUUUUGGGCUGACGGAGUAUGGCACGUUAGGCCUAUUUGGCUCACAUCUAUUUGAUGAAAAAUACCGAAAAAUAUUUGUAAAAUCCGUUAAAAUCAAAUUGCAAUGAUAAUUUUUAAAAUAAUUUUUAAAAUAAUUUUUAAAAUAAUUUUUAAAAUAAUUUUUAAAAAUAUCGAUAUUUUUAAAAUCAGACCGCAAACAAAUCAAAAAAAUUUUGAAAAUCUGUUUUUUUUUCUUUUUUAAAAUUUGCAGUUUGUCUUUCACUCAACAUCUUAAUAAUAUUUUCACAUUUUUUUUUUAUUUUUAAAAAUAAUUUAAAUUGAAAAUCUUUUUUUUUCUUUUUUAAAAUUUGCAGUUUGUCUUUCACUCAAUAUCUUAAUAAUAUUUUCACAUUUUUUUUUAUUUUUAAAAAUAAUUUAAAAAAUGUUUUAAAAAUGAGAGCCUAAUCCGGUUUUUUUGCAUGUUUGCAUAUAAAAAGGAACUUGGAAGUCAGUUGUGUGUCAAUAGAAGAAUGGAUUUAAAUAGUCCAAUUUUCAGUUUUAAUUCAGUUUCAAAACGGAAACUUCAGGGACAUUUCUAACAAAAACGACAAAACCUUACCGCGGUCAUAUUCCCGAAUUAAUUUUUCUUAUAAUAAAUCUUAAAUAUAGGUCAAAAUAAGACUUUUUGCGGUGUUCUGCCGAAUAAGGUAACAAUGUAUUUGAAUAUGAACAUGAAUAAAAUGGAAGUUGGAUCGAA